ACGAACGCUGGCGGCGUGCUUAACACAUGCAAGUCGAACGGAAAGGCCCUGCUUUUGUGGGGUGCUCGAGUGGCGAACGGGUGAGUAACACGUGAGUAACCUGCCCUUGACUUUGGGAUAACUUCAGGAAACUGGGGCUAAUACCGGAUAGGAGCUCCUGCUGCAUGGUGGGGGUUGGAAAGUUUCGGCGGUUGGGGAUGGACUCGCGGCUUAUCAGCUUGUUGGUGGGGUAGUGGCUUACCAAGGCUUUGACGGGUAGCCGGCCUGAGAGGGUGACCGGCCACAUUGGGACUGAGAUACGGCCCAGACUCCUACGGGAGGCAGCAGUGGGGAAUAUUGCACAGUGGGCGGAAGCCUGAUGCAGCAACGCCGCGUGCGGGAUGACGGCCUUCGGGGUGUAAACCGCUUUCGCCUGUGACGAAGCGUGAGUGACGGUAAUGGGUAAAGAAGCACCGGCUAACUACGUG
rnacentral:rRNA from 1 species